UGGGUGUCCUGGCAGGGGGUGUGCAGCAGAGAAGUGACUGGCUCCCAUUAAUGCUGAAGGAGGGUCUAUGAGUGUGUGAGGAAGCAUGGCAAAUGCUGAAUCAGAGAGAUCGGGGUAGGGCUGAGUACUAAAUGCAUCUGAUAUGAGCUUCAAUACUUAAAACUCUUCAGCAGUGCAAGUUUAAGGAACACCAGUUCCGGUGAGAACAUGCAUUUGUCCUUUAACCCACCCUGAAAACUGAACUAUGUGGUGGGCGGAGCUCUCCUGGAUACUCUCUUAGAACAGCACAGAGCAGAAAAGUAAAGUACUGCAAGCAGAAAGAAGAUGCAAACACAGCCUUGGCAAGCGUGUUCUAUUCUACACUUAAACGCACUUAAGAAGGGCUUUGGAUCAGUUCAGACUGAAAGCAAACUAAGAAACAUUACUGGAUUUAUUCUGGGUUUUGGUAUAAUGUUUUGCAAAUACAAAUGUCCCAAAUACU